UGUUCCCACCCCGCUUGUAUGAGGGAGGCAGUGGCUGUAGAAAGGUAUUUUUUAGGACAGUAUACCCGCUAUGGAUCCCGAGUGAAUGGUAAAGUCUCCCUGCAGUUCUGACCUAACCCCAAAAGCCUGGACCCACUGGUCUCAGUCAUGGCCCUAACCACUGAGCAAGUCCACUCACAGGGAGCCAACAAACCAGGCUGGAAUAAUCUACCUGCUGUGUUGCCUAUUCUGCAGAGGAAGGGAAAAAUUCUGACAGAAAGAGAAAUGCCACUUUCCAAUACUCCAAAGUAUAGACAGAAAACACACCACCUGAUGCUAUCCACUGUGUUACUUAUCACUGUUUACUCUAUCCUGGUGUAUUACAUGAUGGUUCAACUAAGGUUGUGUUGAUACUGUUACCAUACUGGAUAUCAAUAGAUUGCAAUACUGAUAACAACUAGCACUGUGCAAGUUGUAUAAGGUUUUUUUUUUUCCCAUAAGCAAGUGGUCCAUUCCUCUGUACAGACAAUACAAAAAUUUUGUUGGCAGUGGGUAAUUUUGAAGCCAAGAAUGCCAAGCUCCAUUGAGGUCUUUCCAAGGCUUGAAAAACUACAGCAUCACUUAAUCUUGAGUUGUUUAAUGUCUCCUCUGGUAAUCACUGUCCCCUCCUGUUAUAAUACAGGUAGACUGCUGUGACUCUAUUAGCUGUUCUCUCUGGAAUUUCACUACAAGUGAUUGCUAGAACAAGGAGUGUAUAUUACAGAACUACAGCGAGAAGGGACAAGCUGCUAAAUGUGGCUUGUCAUGUCACUGAGACCUACCAGCUGAUCAGAAAUUAGUAGUAUUCUUAUUUCUUCUUUUUCAAGGCAAAGGCAAACUAGUUCAGCUCUAGUAUUUGUAUGGUCUGAGUUGUGGUGAAUAGAAUGCUUCUUUUUAAUUUUAAAAAAGUGAUUAUUAGAGGAUUAUUCUUGUAAUUC